GGAUGAAGAACGUAGCGAAAUGCGAUAAGUAAUGUGAAUUGCAGAAUUCAGUGAAUCAUCGAGUCUUUGAACGCACAUUGCGCCCCCUGGUAUUCCGGGGGGCAUGCCUGUCCGAGCGUCAUUGCUGCCCUCAAGCACGGCUUGUGUGUUGGGCCCCCGCCCCCCGGCUUCGGGGGGCGGGCCCGAAAGGCAGCGGCGGCACCGCGUCCGGUCCUCGAGCGUAUGGGGCUUCGUCACCCGCUCUGUAGGCCCGGCCGGCGCCCGCCGGCGACCCCAAUCAAUCUUUCCAGGUUGACCUCGGAUCAGGUAGGGAUACCCGCUGAACUUAAGCAUAUCAAUAAGCGGAGGA
rnacentral:misc_RNA from 1 species